rnacentral:rRNA from 1 species
UAGGGAAUCUUCGGCAAUGGGGGCAACCCUGACCGAGCAACGCCGCGUGAGUGAAGAAGGUUUUCGGAUCGUAAAGCCCUGUUGUAAGAGAAGAACGUGUGUGAGAGUGGAAAGUUCACACAGUGACGGUAACUUACCAGAAAGGGACGGCUAACUACGUGCCAG